AGAAAUUUCUAUGGAUUUUAUUGAUGGCCUACCGAAUUCCAGUGGCAAGACUACCAUAUUUGUGGUCGUGGAUAGACUUUCAAAAUAUGCCCAUUUUGUUCCCAUUUCCCAUCCUUAUACUGCUGUGACUAUUGCUCAAGUAUUUUUUGAUCACAUAUUUAAGUUCCAUGGAAUGCCACUGUCCAUUGUGUGCGAUCGUGAUCCAGCUUUUACUAGUUCAUUUUGGAGGGAAUUGUUUGAGCUCAAUGGUACUCGGUUCAAUUUCAGUUCUGCUUAUCACCCACAAACCGAUGGGCAGACAGAGGUGGUAAACCGAACAUUGGAGAUGUAUCUCAGAUGUUUUACAAGUUCCAAACCCAAAUUAUGGACUAAGUGGCUGUCGUGGGCGGAAUAUUGUUAUAAUACAAGUGUUCAUUCUGUCACCAGAAAAACUCCAUUUGAGGUAGUUUAUGGGAGACCUCCACCUGUAUUGCUUUCAUAUGUUACAGGAACAGCUAAGGUUGCGGCAGUCGAACAAGAGCUGGUUGACCGUGAUGCUGUGAUUCAAGAACUCAAGGAAAAAAUACAGCGGGCCCAAAAUCGAAUGAAGCAAGUCUAUGACUUAAAGCACCAAGAGAGAGAAUUUGCUGUGGGUGAUUUAGUGUUCCUCAGACUGCAUCCUUACAAGCAGAGGACUCUUGCUUUGAGAAAGAGUUACAAAUUAGCGGCCAAGUAUUAUGGGCCCUUCAAGGUAUUACAGAGAAUUGGUGCUGUUGCCUAUAAAUUGGAACUGCCGGCCGGAACCAAGGUACACCCUGUGUUUCAUGUAUCUCUUCUCAAGAAGCAUGUUGGAACUAAAAGCACAAUACAGCAGCAGUUGCCAUUCUUGGAUGAUGGUGGUGAAUUAAUUCCGCAACCAGAAGCUAUUUUAGACAGCAGAACCAAAAGGAGGAAGCGAGAAGUCUUGAUUCAGUGGCACAAUUUAUCUCCAGCUGAGGCAACUUGGGAGGAAUUAAGUAAGAUUAAACAGAAAUUUCCAGAUGCUUCUCUUGUGGACAAGAGAGUUGUUUAAGGGGAGGGGAAUGUCACGUGACCCUUUCUACUCUUUGAAUAAGUCUAAGUAAUUGAUUUUUUGUUUUAUUUGUUAAUUAGUUGCCCUUUUUGCUGCUGUUGACUAGCAGAGUUUACUUCCAUGUAAAUAGCUAUUCUGUUAGCUAUACUGCUAUUUAAGUGAAUGAAUAAUCAAGUCCAAGGCAGGGAGAAAUAACUUAAACGUUCUUUUGACGUUGAGGCCUUGGUUUCCUCCAUUAAACCU
rnacentral:misc_RNA from 1 species